GGAAAGUAAAACAGAGUCAUUGAUUCUUCAACGACAACACAACAUGGAAUCAUGGGACACGACACGAUCCUUAAUUAUGAGUAAAAGUCCAAUUCUACUACGUCACUAGCAUUACUUAUAUGUAAUACUAUGAUUCUAGAAAUUUUGCUACAAACUGAAAAUCAGAAUAUUCUUUGUUCUUGGUGCCAGCAUCUCACUGAAGCUUCAAGUUUCUGAGCCUGCAAGUUAAGACAUGAAGAAACCAAGUUCAUCAUAAUCAAAUAAAAAGUCGAAAGACUCCUCUACUGUUAGAGGCAGAAGGAAGUUGUUUGUGUCAAGAGAACAGAGACUUAGGCACCAAAAAUGUUGUUGUUGCAUUAUAAUGGAAGACAGGAGGAAGUGUAGAAGAAUGCAGCAUGGAAGUUGGAAAGUGAAUGCAGAUAUGUCUGUAGAGUGUGUUGAAUGUUGCAUCAGUCAUGAUCAGUGGAUCCUGGCCACAGAAUGAAGGCUAAUGGGGAUAGCAGUGAUCAUUGGCUGAAGAUUAUUCUGGAUUCAAGGAAUCUUUGUGAUGAAUAAUAGAUGGUGGAUGAUGUGCCUCAUCAUCACCAAAAUCUACACUGUAAUCUUUAUCUCUCCUUCGGUAUAUCUCAUAGUACAAUGUUUAUGUGCAAGAUUCUUUUCAGAGUGGUCCUUUCUUACCAAUUGAGAACUUUGAUUCAUAAACUUUUCUUCAUUGCUCUUCUUUAUCAGAU
rnacentral:sRNA from 1 species